UCAAAUUGUAAUGUAUGGUGGUUUGGACUUUCAUUGUUGGCAGUGCAAUUGGAUUCUAAAACUAGCUAGGCCAGCUAAGCCGUUAACUAAAGGCAUCUUAAUUUCUCCUACCAUCCAAACUCCCAAAUAAAAAGCCUACAACUCAACGUAGCAGCUAACAUUGAAUUAAAUGAAUGGAAGAACUUAUGCUUUGAUCUUAUUCUUCUGGGCUCUACUCACUGUGGUCACCCCCACACUUAUUCGCAUGUCUGCCUCCGCAAAACCCUACUUGGAUUUCAACGGUAAGCCUUACCAUACACAAUGAUCAUAUAUAUGCACGUAAACAUAUAUUUUUUGGUUCAAUUAUAUACAUUGACCAUAAUUUAUAUGAUAGCAGGAGGGAUGAAGGGCAGUUUGUUGCCUAGAAGAGCACUGGAAGCCAUGGCAGGUCCCGAAGCACCAGCACCAGCACCAGCACCACGAAUGAACGUAACGUGAUGAUAUCUAAUUGAUGGGGGGCUUGUGCUCGUGUUUUAAACCUCGACUAGUCAUGUAGAUAUGGGACUAGCUAGUAUGCAUGAAAGCACAAGUAUUUGAUCAGGUAAAUUAAUUAAUAGAGAUAUAUACAGUAAACAGAAAGAAGGAAUAAUUUGUUCAUUCAUUCAUUUGAAAAGUUUCUUUAUAAUAAGGAAGUAUUUAUGUGCAUACAUUUUCAUGUAUAAUAUAUUGUUGUUCUUAAUUUGUUUCAACUAUAUAUGUUUUGAUGUUUGACUAAUCCAAUUGGAUUAUUCGUUUAUAUCAUAACAGAUCUCAACGUGACAUCGUUAACACCAUAUUACUUCACGAGAUUGUUGCCUGAUAAAUGCAGUAUAUAUACACAAUGUAAAAAACUGAUGAUUGAAGGCUACAAUCUAGCUAUAGCCGCCGGAAGUACCCUCCGGCGUAUAGGAAUUAGUUAUUGACAUUAACUAAUACGAAUGGCAUAGUAUUGUGUGCUCAGAUAGCAUACUUUAGCCUACGUUCGUUUAUUCCAUAUGUGUGUGUGUGUCAGUGUGUGUGUGUGUAUAUAUAUAUGGGCUUGUGGUGGAGGAUUUCAUUGGAACUUUAGGCCUUACGUAUUGGGUCUAGUCGGUGAUAUUUCCUCAGGCAUUUUGCAUCAACAUAAACCAAAUAACUAUGGCACGGUAUUCUUCUUAAAUGUAGAGCACAAUCUUUUGCUUGUGGGUUUAAACAAUACGCUGAUGCAUGUAUUCACCGUUUGAUGAGAAGAAAUCAUAAUGCAAGUGGCCGGCUAAAUUAUUGCCAGAUCGAGAUCACUCUGCAUUAUUGACGAAUGAUAUAUGAACUUAUAUAUAUAUAAAAUAUGUAAAUCAACAUUAUAUUAUCAAAGCGAUCCGUUUGGUAGCAUAUAUAUAUAAUCCUAACUAAUUAUUUAUGUACACAACAAUUACUAAUAAAUACUUACGUAGAUAAAUAAUUCGAGUGAGAUUAAUUAAACAAGACAGUGUGGGUUGGAAAAGUUCACCCCAGAAGAAUGAGUCAUAAGGAGACUUUUUAGCUCCAAAUAUCAAAUAGCUAGAUAAAAGACUGACAAAUAAAAAUAAAGAGAAAGAUCGAGGGCAUUUUUUGGAUAUAUUAUAAAAUCAUAGUAUCAAUGCAUACCCAAAAAAGUUAUAAUUAAAAAUAUUAUUAAUAGUAGUUUAAAAUUAUAUAGACAUACAAAUUGUUUUGAUAUGAG
rnacentral:lncRNA from 1 species